GGACUACUAGGGUAUCUAAUCCUGUUUGCUCCCCUAGCUUUCGUCCCUCAGCGUCAGUUGCGAUCCAGCAAGCCGCUUUCGCCUCGGAUGUUCCUGCGGAUAUCUACGCAUUUCACCGCUACACCCGCAAUUCCACUUGCCUCUCUCGCACUCUAGCACGGCAGUUUCGGAAGCAGCCUCUGAGUUGAGCCCAGAGAUUUCACUCCCGACUUACCACACCGCCUACGGACCCUUUACGCCCAGUAAUUCCGAGCAACGCUGGCCCCCUACGUCUUACCGCGGCGGCUGGCAC
rnacentral:rRNA from 1 species